AUGGCCCCAGGAAGCAGCAUUGUGAGUGUGACUGAAGUUCCUGAGUCAGAUUGUGGCGACCGUGGGCUCUCCGAGGCACUCAGUAGUAUUAGGCUUGAUGGAGAUUCUACAAGUAAGCCCUCCUGGGCUGCGUCACUUGUCAAUGUUGGUUUGUCAUCAUUGACUGGCUUGAAUGAUUUGCUCGAGUGUCCAGUGUGUACAAACUCAAUGCGCCCGCCUAUACUUCAGUGCCCAAAUGGCCACACAAUUUGCUCCAGCUGUAAGCAUAGGGUAGACAACCAUUGCCCCACUUGCCGCCAGGAGCUGGGAAAUAUCAGAUGCUUGGCUCUCGAGAAGGUGGCCGAAUCGAUUCAGCUUCCAUGCAAAUACCAAAGCCUGGGCUGCACCGAGAUCCAUCCUUACCAGAACAAACUUAAGCACGAGGAGCUCUGCAGGUUCAGGCCAUACAGCUGUCCAUAUGCAGGUUCAGAGUGCCUCAUUGCAGGUGACGUUCCGAUGCUCGUGUCUCAUCUCAUCAAUGACCACAAGGUGGAUUUGCACGAAGGCUGCACCUUUAACCACCGCUAUGUGAAGUCCAACCCUUACGAAGUGGAAAACGCAACAUGGAUGCUCACUGUUUUCAAGUGUUUCGGGCAGCACUUCUGCCUCCACUUCGAGGCGUUCCUGCUGGGGAUGUCCCCGGUGUACAUGGCGUUCCUGCGGUUCAUGGGGGAGGAGAGCGAGGCUCGGAGCUUCUGCUACAGCCUGGAGGUGGGCGGGAACGGGCGGAAGCUGACGUGGCAGGGCACGCCGCGGAGCAUCCGGGACGGGCACAAGAAGGUGCGGGACAGCUUCGACGGGCUCAUCAUCCACCGCAACAUGGCCCUCUUCUUCUCCAGUGGCACCCGGCAGGAGCUCAAGCUGCGCGUGACUGGCCGCAUCUGGAAGGAGCAGUGA
rnacentral:rRNA from 1 species